AUGGAGCCGACCUUGAAAUACCACCCUUUAAUGUUUGAUGUUCUAACGUUGACCCGUAAUCCGGGUUGCGGACAGUGUCUGGUGGGUAGUUUGACUGGGGCGGUCUCCUCCUAAAGAGUAACGGAGGAGCACGAAGGUUGGCUAAUCCUGGUCGGACAUCAGGAGGUUAGUGCAAUGGCAUAAGCCAGCUUGACUGCGAGCGUGACGGCGCGAGCAGGUGCGAAAGCAGGUCAUAGUGAUCCGGUGGUUCUGAAUGGAAGGGCCAUCGCUCAACGGAUAAAAGGUACUCCGGGGAUAACAGGCUGAUACCGCCCAAGAGUUCAUAUCGACGGCGGUGUUUGGCACCUCGAUGUCGGCUCAUCACAUCCUGGGGCUGAAGUAGGUCCCAAGGGUAUGGCUGUUCGCCAUUUAAAGUGGUACGCGAGCUGGGUUUAGAACGUCGUGAGACAGUUCGGUCCCUAUCUGCCGUGGGCGCUGGAGAACUGAGGGGGGCUGCUCCUAGUACGAGAGGACCGGAGUGGACGCAUCACUGGUGUUCGGGUUGUCAUGCCAAUGGCACUGCCCGGUAGCUAAAUGCGGAAGAGAUAAGUGCUGAAAGCAUCUAAGCACGAAACUUGCCCCGAGAUGAGUUCUCCCUGACUCCUUGAGAGUCCUGAAGGAACGUUGAA
rnacentral:rRNA from 1 species